CCUUCGCCAGCGCGCUCCUUCCCCCCUCCUCCCUCCCCUCCGCUCCGCUCCCCUCUGGGGCGGCUUGCGUGGGUUUGUCUUUUUCUCCCCUUUCCCCUCCUUUCUCCCCUUCCCUCCAUCCCCCCCCCACCCUUUUCCCUCUUUUCCCAGGGCAGCCGCCAGCGCCGGAAGCGCCAGGGCCGGAGACCCUCGGAGGCCGCUGCGAACUCGCCUGCGGGCUGGCACACGCGCGAAUCUGGAUUCCCGGGACGAGAUGCAGGAGAACUACGAGAACGUGAUCUCGCUGGCCGAGGAGAUCGCCAUCAGCUGGCCGCGGAUCACCGCCUUCGCCGAGUCGCACCGGAGGAGAGGGCUGGUGUCCGGUGAGUGCCGGCCCGUGCGGGAACGGGCUCAGAUGCGCCGGUCCCCUCGCUCUCGCCCGGGCAGUGCGCCGGGUUGCGGGGCCAGACCCACCGCAAACCCUUCACGAGUGCCGGCCGGAGCCGGGCGCUGGCAUGGGAGGCGCUCCGAGCCCUGCCGCAUCCCUAAGAGGUGGCUCGGGCUGUCCGGGAGCGGCACCAAGGGUCGGGAUGGGGAUGGGAC
rnacentral:lncRNA from 1 species